rnacentral:rRNA from 1 species
UUGAACGCUGGCGGCAGGCCUAACACAUGCCAGUCGAGCGGAUGAAGGGAGCUUGCUCCUGGAUUCAGCGGCGGACGGGUGAGUAAUGCCUAGGAAUCUGCCUGGUAGUGGGGGAUAACGUCCGGAAACGGGCGCUAAUACCGCAUACGUCCUGAGGGAGAAAGUGGGGGAUCUUCGGACCUCACGCUAUCAGAUGAGCCUAGGUCGGAUUAGCUAGUUGGUGGGGUAAAGGCCUACCAAGGCGACGAUCCGUAACUGGUCUGAGAGGAUGAUCAGUCACACCGGAACUGAGACACGGUCCAGACUCCUACGGGAGGCAGCAGUGGGGAAUAUUGGACAAUGGGCGAAAGCCUGAUCCAGCCAUGCCGCGUGUGUGAAGAAGGUCUUCGGAUUGUAAAGCACUUUAAGUUGGGAGGAAGGGCAGUAAGUUAAUACCUUGCUGUUUUGACGUUACCAACAGAAUAAGCACCGGCUAACUUCGUG